UACGUAGGGUGCAAGCGUUGUCCGGAAUUAUUGGGCGUAAAGAGCUCGUAGGCGGUCUGUCGCGUCGAAUGUGAAAACCCGGGGCUCAACUCCGGGCUUGCAUUCGAUACGGGCAGGCUAGAGUUCGGUAGGGGAGUCUGGAAUUCCUGGUGUAGCGGUGAAAUGCGCAGAUAUCAGGAGGAACACCGGUGGCGAAGGCGGGUCUCUGGGCAGUAACUGACGCUGAGGAGCGAAAGCGUGGGGAGCGAACAGG
rnacentral:rRNA from 1 species